rnacentral:lncRNA from 1 species
CCUGGCUGCCUGGCCCCUGGGGGAGGAGGUGCUGGACAUGUUUGUGGGCUCAGCUGGGGGGCUGCACCAAGGGCAAGGAGUGGCUCCCACAUCUUCCUGAUGCCUUGAAUGGCCGGCCCAUGGCAGGGCAUGCCUGGAAGCCAGCAGUGGCUCCUGGUGCUGCUGGUGCUGAGAUACCUGCUGCCCACAGGAGGAAUUACUCACCUAGACACCAGAGCCCUGCUUAGCUUGGAUGCAACCUCAGGGAUUCCAAGAGAUGACCAUGUGCCUACAUCUCAGCCUUUUGCAGAGAGGCUGUGCCCAGUUGCACCCAUCUCCCCUAGAAGACCUCCAGGGACACACUCACUGCCCAGAGUCAAGCACAUGAAUAGUUCUUCUGCAGAUGCCAAGAGGCAGGAGAAUGAGAGAAAGCUGAUCAGAAGGGCAGCAUCUAGCCCAGUCUCCUCGGAUUCAGUGAGUUCCCAGUGGCCAGGUGCCAGAAGCCAAGGAUGGGACCCAGGAGGUGCCAAGGCAUUGCCCUCUGCCCAGCCACAUCCCCCUCACUCAGAGCUGAGGUACCCGCCAGCCUUCCAUUCCAGGACCAGAGACAGUAAGUCCUCACUGUUUUAAUCUUCUUAGUUGACAUUGGUCAUUCAAGUGUUAUAUGUAUGUUGAGGUUGUGCCUGAGGCUGGGGGUCAAGGUCAUUGCAACCAAAUCUUUCCAGGUGUCCCACCUCUCAGAGGCAAAAAGUAAAGGUGGACUUCAACUAGGUUGUCCCAAUAGAUGUGAUGAUCUGCAGGUAAGGACACGGGCUCCAGGCAGGGGGCUACCCUGGGUUAGGGAACCUGGAUUUCUCCAUUAGGUACUGAAAGUGAAGCUGAAUGCGAAGGAGUUCACCAGCAAGGAAGAGUGUGGGAAAGACUCAAUGCCCUAAGUGAUGUUUCUUCUCCUUCCUCCCAGCCUCCUCCUUCUUUCUAAAUCCCCUCUCCACUUUCUCCGUCUCUGCUUACCUUCUUUGCCUUCUUCUCCUUCCCCUUCCUCUUCCUCCUUCACUUAUUUCAAAACUGAUUACCACUCAUUUCUUUUUUCUUUUUCUUUUUCUUUUUUUUGGCCUCAACCACAGUAUAUGGAACUUCCCAGGCCAGGGACUGAACCCACACCACAGCAGCAGCCCAAGCUGCUUCAGUGACAACACCAGAUCCUUAACCCACUGUGCCACAAAGGAACUCCUACCAUUCAUUUCAUGAAUUCUUGAAUUCAUGGCCAAAAGCCCUGCGGCUUUUUUUCUGUGCAGACUUCAAGCUCAGAAUGGUUUUCUCAUGUUUAAAGGGCUGGGGUUAAAACAAACAAAACAACCCUAAACAACCACUACCACCUGCCAGAAAAACCCCAGAAAAACCUGAAGAAUGGGUAGCAGAGACCACAUAAGCACAGCUUGCCAAACUUAAAAUGCUUAAUUGGGGAUUUCUUUGGUAGCUCGGCGGAUUGAGGAUUUAGCAUUGUCACUGCAGUGGUUUGGGUCAUUGCAGUGGCUUGGGUUUGAUCUGCAGCCUGGGUAAUUCCGCAUGCCGUGAAUGUGGCAAAAAACAAAAAACAAACAAAAACUUAAUUGGUGCAUUUGCAGAGAAA